rnacentral:rRNA from 1 species
UUACGACCAGGGCCACACACGUAAUACAAUGCCCGGUACAACGAGUUGCUAAGCCGCGAGGCUGCGCUAAUCUCUUAAAACCGGGCCAAGUUCAGAUCGGAGACUGCAAUUCGUCUCCGUGAAGUUGGAAUCGCUAGUAAACGCAAAUCAGCAUGUUGCGUUGAAUACGUUCUCGGGCCUUGUACACACCGCCCGUCACACCAUGGAAGCCAGUAACACCCGAAGCCGGUGAGCUAACCUUACGGAGGCAGCUGUCGAAGGUGGGAUUGGUGACUGGGGUGAAGUCGUAACAAGGUAGCCGUAA